AAGGGUGAAAGGGGAAAUUUUCUGGCAUCAAAAGCUUUUUCCUGACCUUGGGUGUUUGGGUGCAGUGCCAGGUCACGGUCCUGACAGAAGCACCUCCCCUGGAAGUGAGGCCCACUGUUGGCAGUGAGCAAGUUGGACAUCUCAAGAUUUUUAACUGCUCCUGUCCUCCUGGACAAAAGGGGGAGAGGGGUCCACUUGGCUUUGAAGGUCCCAAAGGUCAAAAGGGAGAAAGAGGCAUCCCAGGACUUCCUGGACUCCGAGGAGAAAAAGGAGAGUCAGGCAAAGCCUAUGGCAUAGGAGAAAAAGGAGAAAAGGUAAGAUCUAAUCCUUCACUGGUCCAACAAAUGAGUUGCUUGCUGUUCAGAGGUUGCUUUUGGUGUGCAUAGGAUACAGAAAAUGUGGCACUGUUGGAUUUUUGUGGGGAACCUUUAUGCCUCCUUCUGCAGAUGAGCUUUUGAGUGUUCAUUGCUUUUUCUCCUUCAUGUUCUUUGAGUUUCUUUGUGCAUUGGCUAUGGCAAAUCUGAUCAAAUUGAAAUCAUAAUCUUUGCUUUGUGUAAGCAGCAGUGAGUUUGUGGAGGAUAAUGCACUAAAGAAAUUGGCCGGAAGGAUGAAAAACAGAAGGAAAGCAUAAUUUUGAGUUUAUUGAAAUUUUCAGCAGGAUUAAAUUUGGC
rnacentral:lncRNA from 1 species